CCUACGGGUGGCAGCAGUGGGGAAUAUUGCACAAUGGGGGAAACCCUGAUGCAGCGACGCCGCGUGAGUGAAGAAGUAAUUCGUUAUGUAAAGCUCUAUCAGCAGGGAAGAAAAUGACGGUACCUGAGUAAGAAGCCCCGGCUAACUACGUGCCAGCAGCCGCGGUAAUACGUAGGGGGCAAGCGUUAUCCGGAUUUACUGGGUGGAAAGGGAGCGUAGACGGCAGUGCAAGUCUGGAGUGAAAGGCGGGGGCUCAACCCCCGGACUGCUCUGGAAACUGUAUGGCUGGAGUGCAGGAGAGGUAAGUGGAAUGCCUGGUGUAGCGGUGAAAUGCGUAGAUAUUAGGAGGAACACCAGUGGCGAAGGCGGCUUACUGGACUGUAACUGACGUUGAGGCUCGAAAGCGUGGGGAGCAAACAGGAUUAGAUACCCUAGUAGUC
rnacentral:rRNA from 1 species